rnacentral:rRNA from 1 species
GAUCAUGGCUCAGGAUGAACGCUAGCUACAGGCUUAACACACGCAAGUCGAGGGGCAGCAUGUUGGUUGCUUGCAACCAAUGAUGGCGACCGGCGCACGGGUGAGUAACGCGUAUCCAACCUACUCUUGUCCAUCGGAUAACCCGUCGAAAGGCGGCCUAACACGAUAUGCGGUUCACAGCAGGCAUCUAACGUGAACGAAACGUAAAGGAGAAGGAUGGGGAUGCGU